GGACGAACGCUGGCGGCGUGCCUAAAACAUGCAAGUCGAACGAGGUAGCAAUAUCUAGUGGCGAACGGCGGAGUAAUACAUGAACAACGUGCCCUAAAGUCCGGGACAAACGCAGAAAUGCCAUAAAUACCGGAUGUGGUGGAGAGAUGGCAUCAUCAUUCCAUUAAAUGGUUUUUCGCUUUAGGAGCGGUUCAUGGCCUAUCAGGUAGUUGGUGGGGUAAUGGCCUACCAAGCCGACGACAGGUAGCGGGUCUGAGAGGAUGAUCCGCUCGAGUGGGACUGAGACACGGCCCACACACCUACGGGUGGCAGCAGUUGGGAAUCUUGCACAAUGGGGGAAACCCUGAUGCAGCGACGCCGCGUGGAGGAUGACGGAUCUAGGUCUGUAAACUUCUUUUACCAGGGACGAAGAACGUGACGGUACCUGGAGAAAAAGCAACGGCUAACUACGUG
rnacentral:rRNA from 1 species